GACGAACGCUGGCGGCGUGCUUAACACAUGCAAGUCGAACGGAAAGGCCCUGCUUUUGUGGGGUGCUCGAGUGGCGAACGGGUGAGUAACACGUGAGUAACCUGCCCUUGACUUUGGGAUAACUUCAGGAAACUGGGGCUAAUACCGGAUAGGAGCUCCUGCUGCAUGGUGGGGGUUGGAAAGUUUCGGCGGUUGGGGAUGGACUCGCGGCUGAUCAGCUUGUUGGUUGGGUAGUGGCUUACCAAGGCUUUGACGGGUAGCCGGCCUGAGAGGGUGACUGGCCACAUUGGGACUGAGAUACGGCCCAGACUCCUACGGGAGGCAGAAGUGGGGAAUAUUGCACAAUGGGCGGAAGCCUGAUGCAGCAACGCCGCGUGCGGGAUGACGGCCUUCGGGUUGUAAACCGCUUUCGCCUGUGACGAAGCGUGAGUGACGGUAAUGGGUAAAGAAGCACCGGCUAACUACGUG
rnacentral:rRNA from 1 species